CAGAUAAUUGAAGUAUAAAAUUACUUUUACAGUGACACGUGGGCCCUCAACUGACCAAGAAGGUGUAGGGCUACGAACCCUUAUUUUCUAGGAUGCAACCCUGAGAUUAAUUCUUGUCUUAAUCAACUAUCAACAAAUUGUCCUGAGCCUGAAAAAUGGAUAGGAAGAGGGGUGAGAUUACAUAAUCCCAGUGAGUAAACAAACACCAUCUAAACUAUCUAAAGGCGAGUAAAUGGAGACAAUUAAAAUUAAUUCAUUUCAGUAAAUUUUUCACAACACGAAUAUUCAUUUCAACCAAAUAAUCAAUAUGGCUCAUGAAUUUCUCAAAACGUUGCUCAUGCCAAAUCUUGUACUCAGGGACAACUGGACCAGGGGUAUCCAACUGAGUCCUCCAGGGUGUGAAAAAUUUUAUAUAAUCAUAAAACUUGUUUUUAUUUUGAAAAAAAAAGCAGCCGUUCCUUGGCGUUGACUGAGUUUCACUUUAAGUGGUGGUUAACAUGAAGUGCACUCAAAAGGCCCACCUCAGGAGAUACCCUACGCGCCUCUACGACCGAGGUGAGAGUAUGAAGGAGUUUACCGUGCCCCUCUAAUAGGUUGGUCCACGGAACCCGGCCAUUGCAGUAGCUAAUCUUUAAUCCACCAAUUGAUCAAAUCUCAAUGGCAUAGCAUGGCAAUUACAUUACUAACCAAUUUAUCAAGGCAAAACAGACAGUUCAUAUUUUUCAACAUAAGUAUAAAUUCAGCCAAUUAUGCCAAUUUAUCACAAGCCAUUUAAUUCAAAUCAUAAUUUACAAUAAAUCACAUGGUCUCCAAUUACUCAAAUUUUCAAAUCCAACAUUCUAUUUUCAAAUCAAUUUAUAAAAAUUUUAAUUUAUUUUAUAAUUCCAUUUAUUUUAUAAAUUCAUAUUUUUCUCAUAAAACAAGAAAUUCAUCUUUUAAAAUAAUUUUCACAAAUCACAAAAUUGAAUAAAAAUUACUCUAGAUAAUUCAGACGAUAAUAGGUUUACUCACAGUUCUAGGAGUCGAUGUACUCCUAAUCUCAGUCUUCAAGCAUAAUCUUUGUACUUUUACCAGUGUAAUUUAUUUACCACCUAUCCACAAUGUACAAUACAUAAUUCACCACAUUAAUGCUUGACCAUUAUAAAAUCAAUUCAGGCUCGGUGUAUAUGCAUGAUAUGAUAUGCAACUUAUCCGACUACCGCUUAAAU
rnacentral:lncRNA from 1 species